rnacentral:misc_RNA from 1 species
GAUGAAGAACGUAGUGAAAUGCGAUAAGUAGUGUGAAUUGCAGAAUUCAGUGAAUCAUCGAAUCUUUGAACGCACAUUGCGCCUCCUGGCAUUCCGGGAGGCAUGCCUGUUCGAGCGUCAUCAAACCCCAUCGUGCAAAUGAAUUAUUUUUUUUGCGCGGAAGUGACGAUUGAGCGAGAAUAACAAAUCCUCUCGCACCUCGUCGAAAUGAUUGCGGGCGGAAUUUGGGAUCGGGUUCCUCGGCGUAGCGUAUCAAUGCAUAUUUAUGCAACUUGCCGCGGAGUUGAGCCUGACCCACGCGUUCUCGCCGUACAAACACCUCAUUACUUUACAAGUUUUUGACCUCGGAUCAGGUAGGGAUACCCGCUGAACUUAAGCAUAUCAAUAAGCGGAGGA